AGUCCCGAUGGACCAUUUAUAAAUUUAUCCAGACUGAAUUUAACAAAAUAUUCCCAGAAACCUAAGUUGGCAAAGGCUUUAUUUGAAUAUAUUUUCCACCAUGAAAACGAUGUUAAGAUGGCUUUGGACUUGGCGUCCCUUUCCACGGAGUAUUCUCAGUACAAGGACUGGUGGUGGAAGGUGCAGAUUGGAAAAUGUUACUACAGGUUAGGAAUGUACCGUGAAGCAGAGAAACAGUUCAAAUCAGCCCUGAAGCAGCAGGAAAUGGUAGAUACAUUUCUCUAUCUGGCAAAAAGGACCCAGGCCUGAGACCCAACAACCACUUGAUGGCUCACAACCAUCUGAACUCCAGUUCCAAGAACCUUCUUCUGGUCUCCAAGGUUACCAGGCACACACAUGAUGUGCAGACAUACACAUAAAAC
rnacentral:lncRNA from 1 species